GUAGAAAGAGGACCCACUACAUUGUGACACCGAGACUCUCAUAUUUGUAAAACCAUGCUGUGCUGCAUUUACAAUUUAUGCAUUUCCUUUGUGAGCAGUCUGUCAGUAAGCAACGCUGUUUCAGGUAAUCAUUUGUGGCAAUGACACUGGCUUAUAAGUAGAAAAUACAUUCGUAAAAAGUCAUAUAACUGACAAUGAAAUAGUACAUCAAGAACCCAAUCGAUUGCGAUUAAAUGAAAUCAUUCAGUCAGCUUGAUAAGCAUGGAUAAUUAUAUCUGAAGUACAUAACUUAUUUUGAUUUGUCUUACAAUUAACAACCGGAAGUGAUAAGCGGUCAUUACCAGAACUUUGUCUGCCUGUUGAGAAACAAUCCCCGCCGAUAGUUGAUAUCUUGGAGAUAACACGCAAUAGCACAGGACAAAGAUUUGUAUUAUUUCCAUCUUUCGUAUAAAAUGCUUGGCUCGAUGCAGUGGUACAUAUCAAAUACAUUUAGUGCAUUACAGGACCAAGUGAUCACAGCAACUUAGAAUCCCAUAUAUACCGUCAAAAUGAACUUCAAGAAGCUGUUUAUCUUCGUCAUUUUCGCCGCUUUGCUUUUGACUGCCCAAACCGAGGCCGGGAAGCUGAAGAAGCUGGGCAAAAAGAUUGAAAAAGUUGGAAAAAAUGUGGUCCAUGCUGUCGAUAAAGUGAUACCAACUGUUUUGGGGCUUCAGCAAAUCCGUGAAAACGAAAAAGAAAACAAUAAAAACUAAGUAGAACUAUGUAGUUGAUAUGAAGUGACGUACGAUAGUGAAUAAUGAAUUUCAAAAAAAACUUGUAAA